rnacentral:snRNA from 9 species
AUACUUACCUGGCGUAGGGAUACCGUGAUUAGGCGGUUCCCCUAGGGUGAGGCUGCUCCGUUGCACUGCGGAGUGGUUGACCCUUGCGAUUAUUCUUGUUUUUUUAUUAGUUUCACUUGUACCGUGUGUGACUUGCACUAUUUAUUUGAGCUUUUAGAGC